AAAUUGAAGAGUUUGAUCAUGGCUCAGAUUGAACGCUGGCGGCAGGCCUAACACAUGCAAGUCGAACGGUAACAGGAAGCAGCUUGCUGCUUUGCUGACGAGUGGCGGACGGGUGAGUAAUGUCUGGGAAACUGCCUGAUGGAGGGGGAUAACUACU
rnacentral:rRNA from 1 species